AUUGAACGCUGGCGGCAGGCCUAACACAUGCAAGUCGAACGGUAACAGGAAACAGCUUGCUGUUUCGCUGACGAGUGGCGGACGGGUGAGUAAUGUCUGGGAAACUGCCUGAUGGAGGGGGAUAACUACUGGAAACGGUAGCUAAUACCGCAUAACGUCGCAAGACCAAAGAGGGGGACCUUCGGGCCUCUUGCCAUCGGAUGUGCCCAGAUGGGAUUAGCUAGUAGGUGGGGUAACGGCUCACCUAGGCGACGAUCCCUAGCUGGUCUGAGAGGAUGACCAGCCACCCUGGAACUGAAACACGGUCCAGACUCCUACGGGAGGCAGCAGUGGGGAAUAUUGCACAAUGGGCGCAAGCCUGAUGCAGCCAUGCCGCGUGUAUGAAGAAGGCCUUCGGGUUGUAAAGUACUUUCAGCGGGGAUGAAGGGAGUAAAGUUAAUACCUUUGCUCAUUGACGUUACCCGCAGAAGAAGCACCGGCUAACUCCGUG
rnacentral:rRNA from 1 species